rnacentral:rRNA from 1 species
AUUGAACGCUGGCGGCAGGCCUAACACAUGCAAGUCGAACGAGUGGCGGACGGGUGAGUAAUGUCUGGGAAACUGCCUGAUGGAGGGGGAUAACUACUGGAAACGGUGGCUAAUACCGCAUACUAUCAGAUGUGCCCAUAUGGGAUUAGCUCGUUGGUGGGGUAAAGGCUCACCUAGGCGACGAUCCCUAGCUGGUCUGAGAGGAUGACCAGCCACACUGGGAAUGAGACACGGCCCAGACUCCUACGGGAGGCAGCAGUGGGGAAUAUUGCACAAUGGGCGAAAGCCUGAUGCAGCCAUGCCGCGUGUAUGAAGAAGGCCUUAGGGUUGUAAAGUACUUUCAGCGGGGAGGCGUUACCCGCAGAAGAAGCACCGGCUAACUCCGUGCCAGCAGCCGCGGUAAUUC